UACGUAGGUGGCAAGCGUUGUCCGGAUUUAUUGGGUUUAAAGGGUGCGUAGGCGGCUUAUUAAGUCAGUGGUGAAAUAUCGCAGCUUAACUGUGAGGGUGCCAUUGAUACUGAUGAGCUUGAGUGGAGUCGAGGUAGGCGGAAUUGACGGUGUAGCGGUGAAAUGCUUAGAUAUCGUCAAGAACACCGAUAGUGAAGACAGCUUACUAGACUUCAACUGACGCUGAGGCACGAAAGUGUGGGGAUCAAACAGGAUUAGAUACCCGUGUAGU
rnacentral:rRNA from 1 species